rnacentral:rRNA from 1 species
GUGUUCCAGGUAAAUCCGGUUCACUUUAACACUGAGGCGUGACGACGAGGCACUACGGUGCUGAAGCAACAAAUGCCCUGCUUCCAGGAAAAGCCUCUAAGCAUCAGGUAACAUCAAAUCGUACCCCAAACCGACACAGGUGGUCAGGUAGAGAAUACCAAGGCGCUUGAGAGAACUCGGGUGAAGGAACUAGGCAAAAUGGUGCCGUAACUUCGGGAGAAGGCACGCUGACACGUAGGUGAAGUGAUUUACUCAUGGAGCUGAAGUCAGUCGAAGAUACCAGCUGGCUGCAACUGUUUAUUAAAAACACAGCACUGUGCAAACACGAAAGUGGACGUAUACGGUGUGACGCCUGCCCGGUGCCGGAAGGUUAAUUGAUGGGGUCAGCGCAAGCGAAGCUCCUGAUCGAAGCCCCGGUAAACGGCGGCCGUAACUAUAACGGUCCUAAGGUAGCGAAAUUCCUUGUCGGGUAAGUUCCGACCUGCACGAAUGGCGUAAUGAUGGCCAGGCUGUCUCCACCCGAGACUCAGUGAAAUUGAACUCGCUGUGAAGAUGCAGUGUACCCGCGGCAAGACGGAAAGACCCCGUGAACCUUUACUAUAGCUUGACACUGAACAUUGAGCCUUGAUGUGUAGGAUAGGUGGGAGGCUUUGAAGUGUGGACGCCAGUCUGCAUGGAGCCGACCUUGAAAUACCACCCUUUAAUGUUUGAUGUUCUAACGUGGACCCGUUACCCGGGUUGCGGACAGUGUCUGGUGGGUAGUUUGACUGGGGCGGUCUCCUCCUAAAGAGUAACGGAGGAGCACGAAGGUUGGCUAAUCCUGGUCGGACAUCAGGAGGUUAGUGCAAUGGCAUAAGCCAGCUUGACUGCGAGCGUGACGGCGCGAGCAGGUGCGAAAGCAGGUCAUAGUGAUCCGGUGGUUCUGAAUGGAAGGGCCAUCGCUCAACGGAUAAAAGGUACUCCGGGGAUAACAGGCUGAUACCGCCCAAGAGUUCAUAUCGACGGCGGUGUUUGGCACCUCGAUGUCGGCUCAUCACAUCCUGGGGCUGAAGUAGGUCCCAAGGGUAUGGCUGUUCGCCAUUUAAAGUGGUACGCGAGCUGGGUUUAGAACGUCGUGAGACAGUUCGGUCCCUAUCUGCCGUGGGCGCUGGAGAACUGAGGGGGGCUGCUCCUAGUACGAGAGGACCGGAGUGGACGCAUCACUGGUGUUCGGGUUGUCAUGCCAAUGGCACUGCCCGGUAGCUAAAUGCGGAAGAGAUAAGUGCUGAAAGCAUCUAAGCACGAAACUUGCCCCGAGAUGAGUUCUCCCUGAGACUUUAGGUCUCCUGAAGGAACGUUGAAGACGACGACGUUGAUAGGCCGGGUGUGUAAGCGCAGCGAUGCGUUGAGCUAACCGGUACUAAUGAACCGUGAGGCUUAACCUUACAACGCCG